CCUCACUCAACAGUUCUCCUCUAUUUUCAUUUACUUACCCCAUUUUUCGUAAUAUUAAUUGGUAGGCAUAGUAUCAUAGUUAUUAAUGGUUCCAUUCUUUUCAUAUCCCUUUUAUAUUCAUUUUCAUGCCCAUUUGUUGAUUUUUAUUUGUGUGCUUAUUUGCAAGAAGGAGCUGCAAGAGUAAAAUUGGAAACACGUACCUAUGUUCAGGCAUUUGUACUUUUUUCAGAAAAAUCAAGUUUUCUCUUACAUUCGUUGAUUAGAAAUAAAGUAAUGGUCUUGGUUUGAUAUUUUACUUAAACAGUUAAACCCUCCUGAGGAGGAGGGCUUGCAUAUUUAGGGAUAAAGUAAUGGUUUUUGUUUUUAUUCUCAUGGGUCAUGAAUCUGUAGGACUGAAUUCAUUCGGUUAGUGGCACCAAUUGUUUGAUCUAGAAAAUGAUUGAAUUUGGAGCUCCCGGUGAUUUCCUUCUCAAUCCAUCAAUAUAUGCAGUGGGACAUAGUUCCCAUUUGGUUAGGGAAGUUUUUGUGUAUGUUUAUUCAUAUGCAGUUCGUCUCUGUGCAUCUUCUCUUUAUGAUUGGUGUGCUCUUUACUAGAACUCUCUGUUUGGUUAUAUUGUUCAAUAAAAUUGUGAGAGGAAAAGAUAUUGCAUCAUCACUUUAUGAUUGGUAUGCUCUAAGUCUUGAUUGAUUGACUCACAUGAGCAUUGAUAUAGUUGCUCACCAAAGUAUGGUUGUAUUGUGCACUGUUCUGUUGAAUGUAUUGUUGCUUAAUUGAUUUUUGUUGGUAUUGUUUUGGAGCUCGCAACCGAUGCAUUUGACAUGUAUAAUCGAUAAAAUACCUACUUCUAUUGUAAUUCCAAGAUGCAGUCAGCCUACAUUUUGCACAACCAGAACACAAAUAUAUGUGACCUAUUGUUUCUAAUCCCAGUCUCCAAUACCUCCCUUUUACAUUUUGAACUUAGCUGUGGUGUUCUUUUAGUUCUUAUUAUCAGAAAUUCUAGCUAGGUCAUGUAGAAUAGCGCUAUGUUGGUUCACCGCAGAAGGUGUCUUCCUUUGAUUUUGCUUCAUGCACUUUGUUUCUUUCAUACUCUCAAAUUAAUUAAUUUCUCUAACAAAUAGUUGUACUUGUUGGUUCCGUUCUCCUUUCCUUUGACCAUGCAAGUGAUUGCACUUUAUGGUUUGAACCAUAGAGCAUAUUAAGAUCUUUCUAUUUCUCUGCAUACAUUUGCUUGCAUCUGUAUUCUCCCAGUUUAUUCUUUUCAUCUGGUACAAAUUCAUCAGGUACUGAACAAAAGACUUUGUUACGCUGAUGCAAAAAAAACACGCUUUAGUUAUGACAUAGUUACCUACUACUUCAGAUUCUGUAUCUGAUUGCAUUAGAAUAAAGAUGGAAAUGCAGGUUCAUGGGAAGAAUCAAGUGGAUCUGCUCGCAGCUCUGACAUGGACCUCAUCUGUAAGGCAACAUGUUUUUAUAUCGAUCUGCUUGAAUUUGGCUGUUAAUAUGUGCGUGGUAAAUCUAUCUGAAAAACUUUUUGUCAUUUUCCACUUCACAUUAGUCUAAAUCCACUAAUUUUGUUUGAUAUCAGGUGUAGAUACAACUGUUGCUUAGAUUGUGGAUUUGCAGUUUUGGAUGGUUUUUAGGCUAAUGACAGGUGUUUGCUGAUUCUGAAGAUGUACUUGUUCACUUGUUUUUUCGGAAGUCAUGAGCAUCACUUGGUAUUUAAUAACUGCAGUGAGAAAAACUCGUGAGUUUGAUGCCAGCCAGCAAUAGCUGAAAGGUGCUGGGCCUUAUGUAUCCUGUGUGGCUGUCUCAACUACCUGAAAGCAAAGCUCCGAGUCAUCUUUCAGCAUAGCUCAUGGAUAGUUGUGAGCAUGUCAGAUUAUGCAAUGCAUGGAUUACGACAAUCUGGGCUGUUCUGUAUUAACAUUUCCAUGCCACGAAAACAACGUUUCUGGUUGCUAUGGUUGCCGCCCUGUGUGCAGGCUCAGCUGUCGUGUGGAAUGUGGGUCACGGCCAAAUAGAUUGGUUAUGAAACUGCUCCAAUCUGGUGGUGGACUGGAAGUUGAUCCUACUGCAGGAGAUUGGACUGUGCCUUGGAGCUGACUGUAGUAUGUAGUUUCAAUGCCUUGGAGCUGACUGCCUAUGUUUAGAAGACAGGGUCACACACCAAGCCGCACCCCAAAAUAGAUCGUUGUUUUUGUCACUCUUGAUUGUUUCUGUACUUCAUUUUGGAACUACUGAGUCAUGUGUGUUCUUCACUUGCCUCUUUUUCAUAAUAGAUUUAUCAUUGCAAAAGUUGGGGAAUGUGUGUCAAGGCGUGCCCUUAUCAUGUAUUUGGAUUGUAGAAUUUUUUGGGAUGUUGAAUAUAUGGUUGAACUGACAGAAAUAGAAAUCUCAAAAUGCACUUUUGCCUUAUGUUAA